UUUGACCAGUCAAUGUUUAUCUCCCCUCCUCUCUCUCAUCUCUCUCCCUCGACAUUUCCUUUCCCCUUCCGUUCGAGCGAACCAGAAGCGGAGGAAGACUAGAAGCUGCAGCUCCGUCGCCGCGACCGCCGCCCGCUCGCCGCUCGUCCCGCCGCCGCACCGCCGCACCGCCGCCCGCGCCGCGCCCGCGCGCUUGCCGCCGUCCCGCCGUCAGCGCACGCCCAGGCCGCGCGAACCAGCCGCUGUUCGCCUCUGCUCCGCACCGACCAGCCACCGUCCGGCCACCUCCGGCCACCGCCUAGCCCCGCCGGACCACCCACGCGACCCCCUCGCCCUCCGCCGGCUUUCCCUCGCCGCCCUAGCCGCCGGAGCAGCCCCGAUCGGCUCCGUCCAGCAGACCCACGGAGUGGGUUUCAGCAUCUUCGGGCCUGCUUUUGGGCCGUUUCCCGGCCCCGAACCCGAGCCGUGCUUUGGGAAGUUUCGUUCCUCGCGUCACCGCCGUCGGAUUGAUCCGAUUUGCGCGUGAUUUGGUGAGUAAUCUCACUAAUCUUGGAUUAGUUGGAUUAUGCUUGAGGUUGGUCUACUAAUUAUUGGAAGUGCCUUGGGAUUUUUCCCGACCCAAAUCGGGCUUCAAUUUGAUAAGUCGGGCCUAAGUGGAAUUUUUGGCAUUUAAAUAUUAAUUUUCGAAAUUAAUUAAUUAAUUAUUUAUUUUUCAAAAAUUCAACAGUGAUGGCCAGUGACCGGAAUAUUAUGCUGAUGACCGUGGCAAAGUCCGUUUGUUUAAUCGGGCUUUAUUUUAAGUUAAAUUGAAUUUCUUGUAUUUAAAUAUUAUUUUUCGAAAUUAAUUAUUUAAUUAUUUAUUUUUUGGAAAUUCGACUUGGAUGGCUAGUAGCCAGAUUUUUAUGCUGACGAUCGUGGUGUAGCCCGUUUAUUUAAUUGGGCUUUAAUUUGAGCUAAAUUGGAUUUAUUGUAAUUAAUUAUUAAAAUUUGAAAUUAAUUAAUUAUUUAUUUAUUUUUUCGGAAAUUAAAGUUGGGUUAGUCGACGACCGAAAUUUCGUGGCGAUCGUCGUGGUGAAGUCUGUUUAUUUAAUGGAGCUUUAUUUUGCGUUGAAUUGAAUUAUUUGCGAAUGUUGGGAAUUAUUUUUUAAUUGGAAAAUCGUUGGUUAUUAAUUGAAAAAUAACCAGGCAUCGGUUGAUAAUGCCAAAUCUAUUUGAGCGGACUACAGAAAAUGUGGGAGUUAUGGAAAGGAAAAUAUUAUAUUUUGACUAAGGCCAGCCGUGUGUUCACGCACGAUAUUUUAUCGGGUAUUUUUAAUACAAAAACUUAGGCCACGACAUUAUUUGAAUUGAGGAAUUUAAAUGCGCGGCACAAUGUCAUUGGGCCGCGAGGGAUUAAUCGUGUGUUGGCUUAUAGUUGAAGUAAGAUGAUUAUUGGAAGUUGAUGUGAUGUGUGUUGUGUUGAGGGAAACCAAUGGAUCAUGAGCAGGUAAAGGACUAAGUACUACACAAGUAGAAGACUUCGUGUGAGUUAUCUCUAGCGCCUUAUACCAUUGCUUAUUGUAGUUAAGGACUAAGUAUUACAUGGCGACCUGAGUCGCAUGGGAAUUAUCUCUAGCGCCUUGCAGUAUUGUAAUGCAUAGGAAAGGGCUAAGUGCUACAUCUCGUGUGAGUUACCUCUAGCGCCUUACACUAUUGCCUUUGUAGUGAAAGACUAAGUACUGCACGAUAGCGAGACUUCGUGUGAGUUACCUCUAGCGCCUUAUACUACUGUUAUUUGUGGUCAAGGACUAAGUGCCGCGCGAUGACGAGACUUCGUGUUGGGGUCACCUCUAGCGCCUUGAGCCUAUAUUUGAGUGGGAAUGUUGAAUGAGAAUGUUGAGAUUAAUUAUCAAGUGUAGAUGAAAUCAUUGUUAUGGUUUGAUUCGUUUGUGAUGGAUUGACUGAUUGAACUGAAUUGGCUGGGAAGGGUCAUUGUUGACAUGUAAUCGACGAGGUCGAUUGAUCAUUGCUUUGAUUUGAUGCUGUGAAUUGAUUGACUGAAUGAAAAUGACCGUGAGUGGUCUUGUUGGCAUUUAAUCGACUAGGUCGAUUUGAUCGAUGCUUCGAUCGGCGAUAUGAUUGCUUGGGUGCUUAUUAUGAAUUGUACUGGCUUGCAGGUGGGAUAUGAGGCCAAGGUACGUCUUCUGCCCUAUGCGUGUUUAGGCAGCCUUUAGUAUAAUGGUUAUCUAAUCGGGCUUAGUGGGGUAGAACUCGCUGAGACGUAGUCUCAUCCCAGUUUGGGGAAAACCAUUUCAGGACCCUGAUGAGAAGCUGAGGAGGAGGAAUCUGAGUGGGAGAACUCUGAGGUAAAACCUGAGGAGAAGAAUUUUGGAAGAAGAAGAUAAUCCCGAGAGGGGCCUUGAGUACGGCCCGGAUGGACUGAGAUUCUAUCUUCUUUUGAGAUCUCCAUUUUGAUGUGAAUAGAGAUAGAGUAAAAAGUUGUGAAGUACUCUAGUUUGUGUUUUGUAUAAAAGUUUGGUUAUAAGUUUCAAUAUGAAAUUAUGGCCCUGCUUUUCUAUCCCAUUGUUUUAUUGUCUGGGGAUUUAUAACUGCUUCCGCAUGUGCUUAAUAAUAGAAAGGGUCGGCG
rnacentral:lncRNA from 1 species